AGAGUUUGAUCCUGGCUCAGGAUGAACGCUAGCGACAGGCCUAACACAUGCAAGUCGAGGGGCAGCGGGGAGGUAGCAAUACCUUUGCCGGCGACCGGCGCACGGGUGAGUAACACGUAUGCAAUCCACCUGUAACAGGGGGAUAACCCGGAGAAAUCCGGACUAAUACCCCAUAAUAUGGGCGCUCCGCAUGGAGAGUUCAUUAAAGAGAGCAAUUUUGGUUACAGACGAGCAUGCGCUCCAUUAGCCAGUUGGCGGGGUAACGGCCCACCAAAGCGACGAUGGAUAGGGGUUCUGAGAGGAAGGUCCCCCACAUUGGAACUGAGACACGGUCCAAACUCCUACGGGAGGCAGCAGUGAGGAAUAUUGGUCAAUGGUCGGCAGACUGAACCAGCCAAGUCGCGUGAGGGAAGACGGCCCUACGGGUUGUAAACCUCUUUUGUCGGAGAGUAAAGUACGCUACGUGUAGCGUAUUGCAAGUAUCCGAAGAAAAAGCAUCGGCUAACUCCGUGCCAGCAGCCGCGGUAAUACGGAGGAUGCGAGCGUUAUCCGGAUUUAUUGGGUUUAAAGGGUGCGUAGGCGGCACGCCAAGUCAGCGGUGAAAUUUCCGGGCUCAACCCGGAGUGUGCCGUUGAAACUGGCGAGCUAGAGUACACAAGAGGCAGGCGGAAUGCGUGGUGUAGCGGUGAAAUGCAUAGAUAUCACGCAGAACCCCGAUUGCGAAGGCAGCCUGCUAGGGUGAAACAGACGCUGAGGCACGAAAGCGUGGGUAUCGAACAGGAUUAGAUACCCUGGUAGUCCACGCAGUAAACGAUGAAUACUAACUGUUUGCGAUACAAUGUAAGCGGUACAGCGAAAGCGUUAAGUAUUCCACCUGGGGAGUACGCCGGCAACGGUGAAACUCAAAGGAAUUGACGGGGGCCCGCACAAGCGGAGGAACAUGUGGUUUAA
rnacentral:rRNA from 2 species